rnacentral:rRNA from 1 species
GACAGAGGUGCCAAGCGUUAGGCGGAAUCACUGGGCUUAAAGCGUGCGCAGGCGGUUCUCCAAGUCCGUUGUGAAAGCCCCGGGCUCAACCUGGGAAUGGCAGUGGAAACUAGGGGACUGGAAUCGUGGCAGAGGGGGUGGAAUGCCGCGUGUAGCAGUGAAAUGCGUAGAGAUGCGGCGGAACACCGAUGGCGAAGGCAGCCCCCUGGGCUGAGAUUGACGCUCAGGCACGAAGCGUGGGGAGCAAACAG